GCAUAGAUAUGACACAGGACACCGAUUGCCUAAGGCAGCUCACGAAUGUACAACUGACACUGAGGCACGAAAGCGUGGGUAUCGAACAGGAUUAGAUACCCUGGUAGUCCACGCUGUAAACGAUGAUCACUAGCUGUUUGCGAUACAUUGUAAGUGGUUAAGCGAAAUCGAUAAGUGAUCCACCUGGGGAGUACGUCGGCAACGAUGAAACUCAAAGGAAUUGACGGGGGCCCGCACAAGCGGAGGAGCAUGUGGUUUAAUUCGAUGAUACGCGAGGAACCUUACCUGGGCUUGAACGUAUGGUGCAUGAGUGUGAAGGCACUCUUUCCUUCACAGGACUUCAUACGAGGUGCUGCAUGGUUGUCGUCAGCUCGUGCCGUGAGGUGUUAGGUUAAGUCCUGCAACGAGCGCAACCCCUGUUUUUAGUUGCCAGCAGGUUAUGCUGGGCACUCUAGAAAGACUGCCUGCGCAAGCAGAGAGGAAGGUGGGGAUGACGUCAAAUCAGCACGGCCCUUACGUCCAGGGCUACACACGUGCUACAAUGGUCGGCACAGAGGGUUGCUACCCGGCAACGGGAUGCUAAUCUCCAAAGUCGAUCUCAGUUCGGAUCGAAGUCUGCAACUCGACUUCGUGAAGUUGGAUUCGCUAGUAAUCGUAUAUCAGCCAUGAUACGGUGAAUACGUUCCCGGGCCUUGUACACACCGCCCGUCAAGCCAUGGAAGUUGGGGGUACCU
rnacentral:rRNA from 1 species